rnacentral:rRNA from 1 species
AACGUAGGAGGCGAGCGUUAUCCGGAUUUACUGGGCGUAAAGCGCACGCAGGUGGCACAGCAAGUUGGAUGUGAAAGCUCCUGGCUUAACUGGGAGAGGCCAUUCGAAACUGCUGAGCUUGAGGUUGGGAGAGGGGUGUGGAAUUCCCGGUGUAGUGGUGGAAUGCGUAGAUAUCGGGAGGAACACCUGUGGCGAAAGCGGCACCCUGGCCCACACCUGACGCUGAUGUGCGAAAGCGUGGGGAG